CCCAGGUCGUUGCUGCAAAUAAGAACGUGUUCUCAGUCAAUUUACCUGGUAAAAUAACGGAUAAAUAAAAAUAAAAAAUAAAACAGAUGUUAUGCGUCUAUUUAUCUUCUAGGGCCCUUGUCAAGGUCAACGGCAUCAUGAACUUUUCCCGGUACCCGUACGUUUUUUGCCAAAAACCUGGUUGCCUUGGCCACAAGUGGAUCUUCCAGCAAGGAAAUAACCCCAAGCACACAUCAAAGUCAACAUUGUGCAAUGGCCAUUUCAGUGUCUGGACUUGAACCCCAUUGAAAUCCUGUUGGUUUGAAAUAAAGGGGGCGGUCCAUAAGUGCAGACAAAGAAUAUCAAGGAUCUAGAAAUGUUCUGUAUGGAGGAAUGAGAUCCCUGUCAAUGUGUUCUCCCAUCUCAUUACCAUGUUCUGUAUGGAGGAAUGAGAUCCCUCUCAAUGUGUUCUCCCAUCUCAUUACCAUGUUCUGUAUGGAGGAAUGAGAUCCCUCUCAAUGUGUUCUCCCAUCUCAUUACCAUGUUCUGUAUGGAGGAAUGAGAUCCCUCUCAAUGUGUUCUCCCAUCUCAUUACCAUGUUCUGUAUGGAGGAAUGAGAUCCCUCUCAAUGUGUUCUCCCAUCUCAUUACCAUGUUCUGUGAAUAAGGAGGAUUAGUGUGAGAAUGGGCGACGUGUGUGUGUGUGUGUGUGUGUAGGGGGCAUUUAUACAGUACCCUAUAUAUGCAGUGAUCACCAACAGUGUCUGGUUUAGACGUGGUUGCCAUAGCAGUAAGCUACUACACCAUCACAACUGAUUUUUCUAGUUGGAUUCAUUCAACCAAAGCUUAGCUGGUCAUUGAGUGCCAUUGGAUCUGGCUUGUUCUUGUGAACCACCGGUGGUGUGUCUAUUGAACUGAAUUCUCAUGGUGAAACUAUUCCUUUAUAAAUUAUUUUUUCAAAAGCAACAUUAAACAUCUAAUAGUUAUAGUGUAAAAGCAGCUGAGCUGGGGAAGGAGAAAGGAGAUACCUAGUCAGUAGGGUCUACAGACAACCACGGACUAUAAAGGGAAAACCAGCCACCAGGACACUGACGUCUUGCUUCCGGACAGGCUGACCACCUUCUGCCCUCACUUUGAGGAUAACACAGUGCCACCGACGAGGUCCGCUAUCAAGGACUGUGCCACUGACGAGGUCCGCUAUCAAGGACUGUGCCACCGACGAGGUCCGCUAUCAAGGACUGUGCCACCGACGAGGUCUGCUAUCAAGGACUGUGCCACUGACGAGGUCCGCUAUCAAGGACUGUGCCACCGACGAGGUCCGCUAUCAAGGACUGUGCCACUGACGAGGUCCGCUAUCAAGGACUGUGCCACCGACGAGGUCCGCUAUCAAGGACUGUGCCACCGACGAGGUCUGCUAUCAAGGACUGUGCCACCGACGAGGUCUGCUAUCAAGGACUGUGCCACCGACGAGGUCCGCUAUCAAGGACUGUGGGCUCUCCUUCUCCGUGGCCGACAUCCACAGAUGAUGCAAUCGCUGCCACACUGCACUCUGCCGUAUCCCAUCUGGACAAGAGGAAUACCUAUGUAAGAAUGCUGUUCAUCGACUACAGCUCAGCAUUCAACACCAUAGUACCCUCCAAGCUCAUCAUCAAGCUGU